rnacentral:rRNA from 1 species
UGGGGAAUCUUGGACAAUGGGCGCAAGCCUGAUCCAGCCAUGCCGCGUGGAUGAUGAAGGCCUUAGGGUUGUAAAGCUCUUUUACGAGGGGACGAUAAUGACGGUACCGUGAGAAUAAGCCCCGGCAAACUUCGUGCCAGCAGCCGCGGUAAUACGAAGGGGGCUAGCGUUGUUCGGAAUUACUGGGCGUAAAGCGCACGUAGGCGGAUUGUUAAGUCAGAGGUGAAAUCCCGGAGCUCAACUUCGGAAUUGCCUUUGAUACUGGCAAUCUAGAGUCCGGAAGAGGUUAGUGGAAUUCCCAGUGUAGAGGUGAAAUUCGUAGAUAUUGGGAAGAACACCAGUGGCGAAGGCGGCUCACUGGAUCGGUACUGACGCUGAGGUGCGAAAGCGUGGGGAGCAAACAGGAUUAGAUACCCAUGUAGUCCCUGAGCGGGCUGGCAAGGCGCAU